AGUAGCGGCGAGCGAAACCGCAGCAGCCUAGUCUUUGAUAAUGCAUGGUGACAGCAGAACGGUCUGGAAAGGCCGGCCACAGUGGGUGACAGCCCCGUAUGCGAAGUCCGGUGCAUGGUACUAAAAAGACGAUAAGUAGGGCGGGACACGUGACAUCCUGUCCGAAGACGGGGGGACCAUCCUCCAAGGCUAAAUACUCAUGAUCGACCGAUAGCGAACCAGUACUGUGAAGGAAAGGCGAAAAGAACCCCGGGAGGGGAGUGAAAGAGAACCUGAAACCGCAUACAUACAAACAGUAGGAGCCCUACGGGGUGACUGCGUACCUUUUGCAUAAUGGGUCAGCGACUUACGUUUUGCGGCAAGCUUAACCGAGUAGGGGAGGCGCAGCGAAAGCGAGUUCGAACAGAGCGAUAGAGUCGUAAGGCGUAGACCCGAAACCAGAUGAGCUAACCAUGGCCAGGUUGAAGGUGUGGUAACACACACUGGAGGACCGAACCGACCGGUGUUGCAAAACCGGCGGAUGAGCUGUGGUUAGGGGUGAAAGGCUUAACAAAUCUGGAGAUAGCUGGUUCUCCCCGAAAACUAUUGAGGUAGUGCCUCGUGACUGACUCCGGGGGGUAGAGCACUGUUAUGGCUAGGGGGACAUGGCGUCUUACCAAACCAUGGCAAACUCCGAAUACCCGGAAGUUGAAUCACGGGAGACAGAGCACCGGGUGCUAACGUCCGGACUCAAAAGGGAAACAACCCAGACCGCCGUUUAAGGUCCCAAAUACAGGCUAAGUGGAAAACGAAGUGUGAAGGCUAAGACAGUCAGGAAGUUGGCUUAGAAGCAGCCAUCCUUCAAAGAAAGCGUAAUAGCUCACUGAUCGAGUCCUCAUGCGCGGAAGAUGUAACGGGGCUAAGUCUGUAACCGAAAGCGCGGAUUUGUACGCAAGUACAAGUGGUAGGGGAGCGUUCUGUAAGCCUGCGAAGGUGUGUGGUAACGCAUGCCGGAGGUAUCAGAAGUGCGAAUGCUGACAUGAGUAACGAUAAAGCGGGUGAAAAGCCCGCUCGCCGUAAGCCCAAGGUUUCCUGCUCUACGUUCAUCGGAGCAGGGUGAGUCGGCCCCUAAGGCCAGGCUGAGAAGCGUAGCUGAUGGGAAGCAGAUUAAGAUUUCUGCACCGACGUUAAGUGCGAAGGGGGGACGGAGUUUUGAGCUUCAUCCGGGUGUUGGAUGUCCCGGUUUGUGAGUGUAGGAGGCCGGCAGGCAAAUCCGCCGGCGAAUCUCCGAGACAAAGCAUCGAGCUGCAUUUUGCAGUGAAGUGAUGGGAUGAACUUCCAGGAAAAGCCUCUAAGCAAUAGCUUAAUGUCGACCGUACCGUAAACCGACACAGGUGGGCGAGUUGAAUAUACUCAGGCGCUUGAGAGAACUCGGGAGAAGGAACUCGGCAAAUUGACACCGUAACUUCGGGAUAAGGUGUGCCUUUGUAGUGUGAAGAGUGAAACACUCCGAGCAUGAAGAGGUCACAGAGAAUAGGUGGCUGCAACUGUUUACUAAAAACACAGCACUCUGCAAAGACGAAAGUCGACGUAUAGGGUGUGAUGCCUGCCCGGUGCCGGAAGAUUAAGUGAUGGGGUGAGAGCUCCUGAUCGAAGUCCCGGUAAACGGCGGCCGUAACUAUAACGGUCCUAAGGUAGCGAAAUUCCUUGUCGGGUAAGUUCCGACCUGCACGAAUGGCAUAAUGAUGGCCACACUGUCUCCUCCCGAGACUCAGUGAAGUUGAAAUGUUUGUGAUGAUGCAAUCUCCCCGCGGCUAGACGGAAAGACCCCAUGAACCUUUACUGCAGCUUUGCAUUGGACUUUGAACCGAUCUGUGUAGGAUAGGCGGGAGGCAGAGAACCGAGGACGCCAGUCUUUGGGGAGCCGACGUUGAAAUACCGCCCUGAUUUGUUUGAGGUUCUAACCGCGGACAGUAAACCUGUUCCGGGACCGUGCAUGGUAGGCAGUUUGACUGGGGCGGUCUCCUCCUAAAGGGUAACGGAGGAGUACAAAGGUACGCUAGGUACGGUCGGAAAUCGUGCUGAUAGUGCAAUGGCGCAAGCGUGCUUGACUGCGAGACCGACAAGUCGAGCAGAUGCGAAAGCAGGUCAUAGUGAUCCGGUGGCA
rnacentral:rRNA from 1 species